UGAAGAUUGUAGAAGGAACUCCAAUAAAGCGUGCAUCAGAAGAAUCCUGAGUGUUGCGUGCUCCUUGCUGGCGAGGUGCGCGCGACAAGUGGUGCCGAAACCCGGGAAGCGACGACCAUCAUCGCCGGCAUCAGCGGAGACCCCUGCCUUCAGGAGGAUUCAGAACUGAGACGCAGGAGGGGAGGAUCCACCAACUUUCCGAGAGGUAUUCUCUCUUCUCUUCUGCUCCACCUACUUAUGGUUAGUUCUUUUCACCACCAACAACAGGACCAUCAACAUCACCACAACACUUCAAUGGUCUGCGCAACAUCACCUUCGCACUCACCCCAGUUUGUGUGUGGCCACCAUUUCUUUGGCUUGUGGCUAAUGUGACUCUCUCGC
rnacentral:lncRNA from 1 species